GACGCGAAGAACCUUACCUGGUCUUGACAUCCACAGAACUUAGCAGAGAUGCUUUGGUGCCUUCGGGAACUGUGAGACAGGUGCUGCAUGGCUGUCGUCAGCUCGUGUUGUGAAAUGUUGGGUUAAGUCCCGCAACGAGCGCAACCCUUAUCCUUUGUUGCCAGCGGUCCGGCCGGGAACUCAAAGGAGACUGCCAGUGAUAAACUGGAGGAAGGUGGGGAUGACGUCAAGUCAUCAUGGCCCUUACGACCAGGGCUACACACGUGCUACAAUGGCAUAUACAAAGAGAAGCGACCUCGCGAGAGCAAGCGGACCUCAUAAAGUAUGUCGUAGUCCGGAUUGGAGUCUGCAACUCGACUCCAUGAAGUCGGAAUCGCUAGUAAUCGUAGAUCAGAAUGCUACGGUGAAUACGUUCCCGGGUCUUGUACACACCG
rnacentral:rRNA from 1 species